rnacentral:rRNA from 1 species
AGAGUUUGAUCCUGGCUCAGGAUGAACGCUAGCGGCAGGCUUAACACAUGCAAGUCGAGGGGCAGCGGGGAGGAAGCUUGCUUUCUCCGCCGGCGACCGGCGCACGGGUGAGUAACACGUAUGCAACCUGCCCCUGUCAGGGGGACAACCCGCCGAAAGGCGGGCUAAACCCGCGUACAUGCCACCGGGGCAUCCCGGAGGCAGGAAAGGCUUCGGCCGGACAGGGAUGGGCAUGCGGCGCAUUAGGCAGUAGGCGGGGUAACGGCCCACCUAACCGACGAUGCGUAGGGGUUCUGAGAGGAAGGUCCCCCACACUGGUACUGAGACACGGACCAGACUCCUACGGGAGGCAGCAGUGAGGAAUAUUGGUCAAUGGUCGGGAGACUGAACCAGCCAAGCCGCGUGAGGGAGGAAGGUACAGAGUAUCGUAAACCUCUUUUGUCAGGGAACAAAGGCGGGGACGUGUCCCCGGAUGAGUGUACCUGAAGAAAAAGCAUCGGCUAACUCCGUGCCAGCAGCCGCGGUAAUACGGAGGAUGCGAGCGUUAUCCGGAUUUAUUGGGUUUAAAGGGUGCGCAGGCGGUCUGUUAAGUCAGCGGUCAAAGCCCGGGGCUCAACCCCGGCCCGCCGUUGAAACUGGCAGUCUCGAGUUGGAGAGAAGUAUGCGGAAUGCGCGGUGUAGCGGUGAAAUGCAUAGAUAUCGCGCAGAACUCCGAUUGCGAAGGCAGCAUGCCGGCUCCACACUGACGCUGAGGCACGAAAGCGUGGGUAUCGAACAGGAUUAGAUACCCUGGUAGUCCACGCAGUAAACGAUGAAUGCUGGCUGUCCGGGGGGAUUGACCCCUGGGUGGCGAAGCGAAAGCGAUAAGCAUUCCACCUGGGGAGUACGCCGGCAACGGUGAAACUCAAAGGAAUUGACGGUGGCCCGCACAAGCGGAGGAACAUGUGGUUUAAUUCGAUGAUACGCGAGGAACCUUACCCGGGCUCAAACGGGGAGUGACUCAGGCAGAGACGCCUGUUUCCCACGGGACACUCCCCGAGGUGCUGCAUGGUUGUCGUCAGCUCGUGCCGUGAGGUGUCGGCUUAAGUGCCAUAACGAGCGCAACCCCCGCGUGCAGUUGCUAACAGAUAACGCUGAGGACUCUGCACGGACUGCCGGCGCAAGCCGCGAGGAAGGCGGGGAUGACGUCAAAUCAGCACGGCCCUUACGUCCGGGGCGACACACGUGUUACAAUGGGUGGUACAGCGGGAAGCCAGGCGGCGACGCCGAGCGGAACCCGAAAUCCACUCUCAGUUCGGAUCGGAGUCUGCAACCCGACUCCGUGAAGCUGGAUUCGCUAGUAAUCGCGCAUCAGCCAUGGCGCGGUGAAUACGUUCCCGGGCCUUGCACACACCGCCCGUCAAG